AUUCUAUCUACAUGUAAUCUUCCUUUAGGAACACGCCAUCCUCUCCGCCGUUCUUGUCUCUCUCGUGGUCGGCGGUGGGUCUAGGUGGUGGUGAAACGUCGGCUCGCGAUGGAUGAAGCAUGGCUAAAAACCAAGUAAAGGCUUAAGCAUAAUAAUCAACAAGAAAGUUGACUUUGACGACACAGUUGCAUUUGUAUUAUUGCAAGAUAUGAGCCAUCAAAACCAUACUAGGCUGUGUGUUGGGACCAUAAGAUGAUUGAAAUUCCGCAUAUAUGUAGAUGAAAGUGCAAGCCAUAAAUGUCAUUAAUAAUGUUUUCUUCAUCUUUUGCUCUAAGCCUUAUAAUCAUAUGGAGUAUUGAAAUUAUCCUUA